rnacentral:rRNA from 1 species
AGGACGAACGCUGGCGGCGUGCCUAACACAUGCAAGUCGAUCGAGAAAGUGGAGCAAUCCAUGAGUAAAGAGGCGCACGGGUGAGUAACACGUGACUAACCUACCCUCGAGUGGGGAAUAACCUGGGGAAACCCGGGCUAAUACCGCAUAAUACCCACGGGUCAAAGGAGCAAUUCGCUUGAGGAGGGGGUCGCGGCAGAUUAGUUAGUUGGCGGGGUAAUGGCCCACCAAGACGAUGAUCUGUA